AUUGAACGCUGGCGGCAGGCCUAACACAUGCAAGUCGAGCGAGCGGCGGACGGGUGAGUAAUGUAUGGGGACUGCCCGAUAGAGGGGGAUAACUUCUGGGAACGGUGGCUAAUACCGCAUACUAUCGGAUAACCCAUAUGGGAUUAGCUAGUAGGUGGGGUAAAGGCUCACCUAGGCGACGAUCGCUAGCUGGUCUGAGAGGAUGAUCAGCCACGCUGGGACUGAUACACGGCCCAGACUCCUACGGAGGCAUCAGUGGGGAAUAUUGCACAAUGGGCGAAAGCCUGAGUCAGCCAUGCGGCGUGUAUGAAGAAGGCCGUAGGGUGUUAAAGUACGUUCAUCGGAGAGGCGUUACCCGAAGAAGAAGCACCGGCUAACUCCGUGCCAGCCGCCGCGGUAAUAC
rnacentral:rRNA from 1 species